rnacentral:lncRNA from 1 species
CAUUAUCUCAUAGAAAGGGUUUCUCUUUCGAAAACCAUUGACUUGAGAGGUGGGUUUUUCAAUCCCUUUCCGUCAUAUUUUGGAACUAUACAGAAAGAAAUUCAACAAAGAUAAGAAGACAGCUUAUGGUACAUCUAGUGGCCAUCAAUCUACGUGAAUGCCGAAAUCAAUAUACUUUGUGAGCACGUCUGCUGUCCAUUAAACUUAGAUUCUUUCCUACUUCGCUGGUUUGCUGAUGCGGCUACGCCACUGCUUUUGCUUUGCAAUCACACUCUUUGUUAUCCGCCCGACAUCUCUUCAUACUGUGACUAUGCGCCGAAAAUUGCUGUUUCAUAUUCUAACGCUACACAGUUUGCUACGCAGAAAAAAACUAUAUUCAAGUCAUGAUAAUUCAAGUCAAGCCGGGUAGCUUGAUUAACGUGACUUAAAAUAACAAAAUUUUUUUAAAAAAAACUAAUUUUAAAAACAAUCAAAAAAAAAUUUAAGAUAAAAAAUAUAAGAUGAUGAUAAACUCAUAAAAAUAAAUAUGAUAAAAGCCACGAAAUUCAAAACUCAAUAACUUAAUGUUGAAGGACUAAAUCAAAAAAAUUUAUAUUGAAAAAAAACAUUGAAAAAAAACCUGAAUAAUCCUGGGUUAACCGGACAAGCCCGCAACCUGAAAUAUAUAAACGGGACAUAAAGGAAAGCGGGAAAAACCAUGAAACUCAAGACCUAAUGAGUUAAAUGAUGAAAUUAAAAAAUAAUUAGUUUUUACAAAAAAGCAUAAAAAUAACAAAAUUAAAUCGGGCUAAUCCUUGAAUCUAGUGACCCGAUUCAUGAGAUCGAGAUUAGCCCAUAGAAGAAAAACAUUAAAAAAUCACUAAGCAAAAUCCCUAAUCAUCCAGAAUUAAAAAUCAAAACAAAUAGCAAUUAAAAUACUGAGAAUUAAAUUUGACAUAAAAACUAAAUGGAUAAAAACAACGAGGGACUAAAUUAAAAAAUAAAACAAA